AAGUCGUAACAAGGCUUCCGUAGGUGAACCUGCGGAAGGAUCAUUACAAAUAAAGCUGGUAGGAAGUGGGGUCGUUGAUUCUGUAAGUGGAUAGAGCGAACAGUACCGGCUCGCCUCCCCGAAAAUGUCUUACAUGUCCCCCACAGCCAUGCAGGCAUGAAUUACCAACCUUGAUUGUCUACACUUGUUGCUUUGGGGGCUCAAGUGCCCCAGAGGACCCAACUCUCUUGCAUUUAGUGACGUCUGAGUACUAUAUAAUAUUUUAAAA
rnacentral:misc_RNA from 1 species